rnacentral:rRNA from 1 species
AGUGAACGCUGGCGGUAGGCCUAACACAUGCAAGUCGAACGGCAGCACAGUAAGAGCUUGCUCUUACGGGUGGCGAGUGGCGGACGGGUGAGGUAUACAUCGGAAUCUACUUUUUCGUGGGGGAUAACGUAGGGAAACUUACGCUAAUACCGCAUACGACCUACGGGUGAAAGCAGGGGAUCUUCGGACCUUGCGCGAUUGAAUGAGCCGAUGUCGGAUUAGCUAGUUGGCGGGGUAAAGGCCCACCAAGGCGACGAUCCGUAGCUGGUCUGAGAGGAUGAUUAGCCACACUGGAACUGAGACACGGUCCAGACUCCUACGGGAGGCAGCAGUGGGGAAUAUUGGACAAUGGGCGCAAGCCUGAUCCAGCCAUACCGCGUGGGUGAAGAAGGCCUUCGGGUUGUAAAGCCCUUUUGUUGGGAAAGAAAAGCAGCAGGUUAAUACCCCGCUGUUCCGACGGUACCCAAAGAAUAAGCACCGGCUAACUUCGUG